GUGAAUGCGCAACAAGGGAUCUCUAACCUUCAAACUGUUUGAGGGAGAAUACUCUAUGAUAUGAUUGAGAAUCUCUGGCCAGAGUAUGAAUGAGAUUUAGAAAAGUCGUUCUAAAUCACAUUCAAGGAAAUCAUAUAAGCACACGAAUCACAUUGGAUAGUAGACAUGAACUUAUAAACUAUCAAACCAAACAAUGUGGUCAAGAGUAUUAGAUUAGAGAAAGACCGUAUUGCAUUUGU
rnacentral:lncRNA from 1 species